AACAGGAUUAGAUACCCUGGUAGUCCACACCGUAAACGAUGAGUGCUAGAUGUUCGAGGGUUUCCGCCCUUGAGUGUCGCAGCUAACGCAUUAAGCACUCCGCCUGGGGAGUACGACCGCAAGGUUGAAACUCAAAGGAAUUGACGGGGACCCGCACAAGCGGUGGAGCACGUGGUUUAAUUCGAAGCAACGCGAAGAACCUUACCAGGUCUUGACAUCCCUUGCUAAUCCUAGAAAUAGGACGUUCCCUUCGGGGACAAGGUGACAGGUGGUGCAUGGUUGUCGUCAGCUCGUGUCGUGAGAUGUUGGGUUAAGUCCCGCAACGAGCGCAACCCUUAUUAUUAGUUGCCAGCAUUCAGUUGGGCACUCUAGUGAGACUGCCGGUGACAAACCGGAGGAAGGUGGGGAUGACGUCAAAUCAUCAUGCCCCUUAUGACCUGGGCUACACACGUGCUACAAUGGCAUAUACAACGAGUCGCCAACCCGCGAGGGUGCGCUAAUCUCUUAAAGUAUGUCUCAGUUCGGAUUGUAGGCUGCAACUCGCCUACAUGAAGUCGGAAUCGCUAGUAAUCGCGGAUCAGCACGCCGCGGUGAAUACGUUCCCGGGUCUUGUACACACCGCCCGUCACACCAUGAGAGUUUGUAACACCCAAAGCCGGUGGGGUAACCUUUUAGGAGCCAGCCGUCUAAGGUGGGACAGAUGAUUAGGGUGAAGUCGUAACAAGGUAACC
rnacentral:rRNA from 1 species